GACGAACGCUGGCGGCGUGCCUAAUACAUGCAAGUCGAGCGCUGAAGGUAGGUACCUGUCUUAAUUGGUUGAGAAGGGAACGGGUGAGUGUAGUGUGGGGAAAACGGCCUGGAGGGGGGGGAAAACUACGGGAAAGAAUGCUAAAUACGCAUAAACACCGUAAAAACAAGUAUUAGGUCUGAAAGAUGCAAUUGCAUCACUUAAAGAUGAUCCCGCGUUGUAUUAGCUAGUUGGUGAGGUAAAGGCUCACCAAGGCGAUGAUACAUAGCCGACCUGAGAGGGUGAUCGGCCACAUUGGGACUGGGACACGGCCCAAACUCCUACGGGGGGCAGCAGUAGGGAAUCUUCGGCAAUGGACGAAAGUCUGACCGAGCAACGCCGCGUGAGUGAAGAAGGUUUUCGGAUCGUAAAACUCUGUUGGGAGAGAAGAACGUUGGUGAAAGUGGAAAGCUCAUCAAGUGACGGUAACUACCCAGAAAGGGACGGCUAACUACGUG
rnacentral:rRNA from 1 species